GAUGUGGACAGCUUCAAAUCUCUCCCUCGGUCCCUUUUAUAUAUUGGGAUUGGUAAGAUUAUAAAGAUUUGGUUUUGAUGCCCACCGUUAGUCGUUUGGUCAGCUUGGUUAUUGUGGAGAGCUGGGCAACAUGGUUUUAUAACUUGAUGCUACGAUUUAUAUUUUGAACUUUUUAGUUUUAGUAGGGCGAAUAUUCACAAUUUGGAACGAGCAUGAAGAAAUUCUCUAUACUUCUUUAUCUUCACAAAGUCUAAAAUUUCGGAUAACCAAAAAUAUUGCAGGCCAAAUGAAUCAUAAAAUUAGAUGUUCUGUGGCGAAUACAAAAUUUUAGGAUUAUGCUAUGUGCCAAACACUUUAUGCCAAGUGGCUCAAAUCUAUAACUAACGCUGGCAUUUACAUUUAUUAAUAUUUUGAAGUGAUAGAAAAGUAUAUAACUUGUGAUUGGUAUAAAGAGGUAUGGUAUAAAUAUGCUACGACGAAGUACCUUUUUA
rnacentral:lncRNA from 1 species